GACGUAGGUGGCGAACGUUAUCCGGAAUUAUUGGGCGUAAAGGAUGCGUAGAUGGUGUAGUAAGUUAUCGGUGGCAAAUCGAGGCUCAACCUCGUGGAAGUCGGUAAUACUGCUAUGCUAGAGGAUAGGAGAGGUUAACGGAACUCCCUGUGAAGCGGUGAAAUGCGUAGAUAUAGGGAAGAACACCAAUCAGGCGAAGGCAGUUAACUAUUCUAUUCCUGACAUUGAGGCAUGAAAGCGUGGGGAGCAAAACGG
rnacentral:rRNA from 1 species